rnacentral:rRNA from 1 species
UAGGAUAGAGGCCUACCAUGGUGGUAACGGGUAACGGGGUGUUAGGGCACGACACCGGAGAGGGAGCCUGAGAAACGGCUACCACAUCCAAGGAUGGCAGCAGGCGCGCAAAUUACCCAAUCCCGACACGGGGAGGUAGUGACAAUAAAUAACAAUACGGGGUUCUUUCGGAUCUCGUAAUUGGAAUGAGUACAAUUUAAAUCUCUUAACGAGGAACAAUUGGAGGGCAAGUCUGGUGCCAGCAGCCGCGGUAAUUCCAGCUCCAAUAGCGUAUAUUAAAGUUGUUGCAGUUAAAAAGCUCGUAGUUGAAUUUCGGGGUUAGUAGGUUGGUCAUGCCUCUGGUAUGUACUGGUCUCACUGAUUCCUCCUUCCUUAUGAACCGUAAUGCCAUUAAUUUGGUGUUGCGGGGAAUUUGGACUGUUACUUUGAAAAAAUUAGAGUGUUUAAAGCAAGCUAACGCUUGAAUACAUUAGCAUGGAAUAAUGAAAUAGGACGUUCGAUCUUAUUUUGUUGGUUUCUAGGAUUGACGUAAUGAUUAAUAGGGAUAGUUGGGGGCAUUAGUAUUCAAUUGUCAGAGGUGAAAUUCUUGGAUUUAUUGAAGACUAACUACUGCGAAAGCAUUUGCCAAGGAUGUUUUCAUUAAUCAAGAACGAAAGUUAGGGGAUCGAAGACGAUCAGAUACCGUCGUAGUCUUAACCAUAAACUAUGCCGACUAGGGAUCGGAUGA